GCACUUUGGUCAAUAUCAUCUUCCUCCCUCUUCUUCUGCUUUGAAAAACAUUAACAACUAACAAAAACUUCCAUGGCGAAAGCGUUUCACUACUUCAGCUACUUCAGUUAUUCUCAUCACUCUCUAGACUCUUUCAUUUCUCAUGAAAUCCGUCUUCUUCCAUCCUGAUAACUCCAUAUCUGUGAUCACAAAAGCUUCCAAAUCGGAAGAACUUUGGGUCGUAUCAACCAGAACGAACGUGCUUUCGAGUUGGAGCAGCAUUGGCUUCGAAUCACUUCACUCGGCGCAUUUCGAAGAGACAGAGUUUCAGUAUAAGCGAUUUUCUUGCUUGUAAACGGAAAGAAGGAGAGACGACGCCCGAGAGUGGGGACUAUGUUGGAGGCUGUAGCUGCUGCUGGUAUUUCUUCUUCAUGGCAUGUAUGGUUUGAUCUGACAGUGUUUCUGAACAUUGUGAAGCAAAUGCUUAUCUUUAGCUUGUCUAAGAGGUGGGUUGGUGGUGGUAGAAUGCGCAUUCAUCCGGUUCAAGCCAUUCAACUUCUCUACUUGUUCUUAUGUUCCUCCUCUUGUUUCUCUGGUCUUUAAUGGUGGUGGUGGUGGUGGUGGUGGUGGUAGUGGUAAAGCAAAUGAAUCUGGUGUGAUAUUGGCGGGGACGGCUCAAUCUCUAUUUUAUUUUGUUUUUUCUGUUAGCUAAUGUGUACAUGUGAGUGUGUGUAGGAUACAAAACACAUUCUUCUCCAACCAGUGUGCUGGUUCUUAUAGUUAAUGACUUUUGGUUUUUUGUUUUUAUAACCCUGUUCAUGGGGAAAAGAGAGAUGGGUAACAGAGAGAUCCAUAUUGGGAAUUCUCCCUCGUCUUGUGCUGGUUAUUGGGAACUCUCCAUAUCCAACAUCCCCUUCACAAGAAUGAAAGGGCUACACAAUAUGCAUUUGGUUAAAAUUAUGGUAUCCCAUUGUUGAUACAGAGAUACAAUGUUGGAAGAAUGAUAUGAUAAUAAGGUAUUUAUUCUA